GAUGAACGCUGGCGGCGUGCCUAAUACAUGCAAGUCGAGCGAACAGACGAGGAGCUUGCUCCUCUGACGUUAGCGGCGGACGGGUGAGUAACACGUGGAUAACCUACCUAUAAGACUGGGAUAACUUCGGGAAACCGGAGCUAAUACCGGAUAAUAUAUUGAACCGCAUGGUUCAAUAGUGAAAGACGGUUUUGCUGUCACUUAUAGAUGGAUCCGCGCCGCAUUAGCUAGUUGGUAAGGUAACGGCUUACCAAGGCAACGAUGCGUAGCCGACCUGAGAGGGGGAUCGGCCACACUGGAACUGAGACACGGUCCAGACGCCUACGGGAGGCAGCAGUAGGGAAUCUGCCGCAAUGGGCGAAAGCCUGACGGAGCAACGCCGCGUGAGUGAUGAAGGUCUUCGGAUCGGAAAACUCUGUUAUUAGGGAAGAACAAAUGUGUAAGUAACUAUGCACGUCUUGACGGUACCUAAUCAGAAAGCCACGGCUAACUACGUG
rnacentral:rRNA from 1 species